CGCGGGGUAGAGCAGCUUGGUAGCUCGCAAGGCUCAUAACCUUGAGGUCACGGCCUGUCUCCGCAA
rnacentral:tRNA from 1 species